UGUCACCCCGUCCUGCUACUCUAAAAUUCUCAGGCAGAAUGCCUUCACCGGCUGUCCCUGUUAUUAAACUCCUGUUGUUGAUGGAAUUCUCCCUCGAGCCCCCUUUGAAGCGACGGGAACCUUCAGCGGUCGCUCGAUGAUCGAAAAACUCGCAGGCUGCUGUUCCCCUCCUUGCCCUCCUCCAAGCCCGUGGCAUCCUCUUGAGGAUGGCCUCCGAGGCAGAGGCCCUGGCGGGGGAACCCCUUAGAGAGGAGUCUGGGGGCUGGAGACGGCAGAAAGACGGCAAAGGCCGGCGUGGAGGACGCUCGGAGUUGGCAGGGGCACCGAUGGAGUGGCUGAGUGGCAAAGCUCUCAAACGAAAGAAAGAUGUCGUCCUUCAGGCGAAUUAAAGCCCUCGGAGGAAGGGUGGGGGGUUUAAAUAGGCAGCGGAUCUUAGCGCAAUUAUGGUGGCGAGUGUCCCUAGACCCACCGGUGCUCGCCACGUGUCCUGCGUGUCCCACUCGCCGCUACCGAGGGCUGACUAUUCGCAAAAUUUUAUGGCGCGACGCUUGGGAUCACGUCCCGCUGGGAGUUCCGAAAAGACUCUUCGGGUCACCCUAAUCGGAAAAAGGGUUCCGACAUGCGCGCAUUAAAUGCCGACAUAUUCGAGGACGAUUGCGCGCGGACGUCAGGGGGAGAACUUCGGCUGCGACAACCUCACUAUACUUCCUUCAUUCGAAAUUC
rnacentral:lncRNA from 1 species